GACGAACGCUGGCGGCGUGCUUAACACAUGCAAGUCGAACGCUGAAGCUUGGUGCUUGCGCUGGGUGGAUGAGUGGCGAACGGGUGAGUAAUACGUGAGUAACCUGCCCUUGACUCUGGGAUAAGCCUGGGAAACUGGUUCUAAUACUGGAUACGACAUGUUACCGCAUGGUGGUGUGUGGAAAGGGUUUUUGUGGGUUUGGAUGGGCUGACGGCCUAUCAGCUUGUUGGUGGGGUAAUGGCCCACCAAGGCGACGACGGGUAGCCGGCCUGAGAGGGUGACCGGCCACACUGGUACUGAGAGACGGCCCAGAGUCGUACGGGAGGCAGCAGUGGGGAAUAUUGCACAAUGGGAGGAAGCCUGAUGCAGCGACGCCGCGUGAGGGAUGACGGCCUUCGGGUUGUAAACCUCUUUCAGCACGGAAGAAGCGAAAGUGACGGUACGUGCAGAAGAAGCGCCGGCUAACUACGUG
rnacentral:rRNA from 1 species